rnacentral:rRNA from 1 species
CCUACGGGUGGCUGCAGUCGAGAAUCAUUCACAAUGGGGGAAACCCUGAUGGUGCGACGCCGCGUGGGGGAAUGAAGGUCUUCGGAUGGUAAACCCCUGUCAUGUGGGAGCAAAUUAAAAAGAUAGUACCACAAGAGGAAGAGACGGCUAAAUCUGUGCAAGCAGCCGCGGUAAGACAGAGGUCUCAAGCGUUGUUCGGAAUCACGGGGCGUAAAGCGUGCGUAGGCUGUUUCGUAAGGUGUGUGUGAAAGGCCCGGGCUCAACCCGAGGACGCCACAUGUUACUGCGAGACUAGAGUAAUGGAGGGGGAACCGGAAUUCCCGGUGUAGCAGUGAAAUGCGUAGAUAUCGAGAGGAACACUCGUGGCGAAGGCGGGUUCCUGGACAUUAACUGACGCUGAGGCACGAAGGCGAGGGGAGCGAACGGGAUUAGAUACCCGAGUAGUC